UCAUCCCUUCCAGGAACAGCCUGAUGCCAGGACAGGCCCUGGAGGUCACCCUACGUGUUCCCGAGAGAAUAGAGAACAGUUCUGGUUCCAGAGUCCACAGUGUUUCGGGGUGCAGAUGGCCUUGGGGCCCGCCCAGAAGGUACCCCUGACCCUGCCAGAGUCUAACAAGGCAAGGCUCCCUUGAAGGCCUGCAGAGCACAGGGGUUCAGCCGGGAACAGCAAACUCUCCCUCUGGCACAGAAGCAUAUAGGUGAGCUCCGACCGGAACAGAGUAAGUUCACUUCAAAAUCUGCCUCCCGUGCAAAAAACUCAGAAGACCAAUUUGAUGCCCAUGUUGUGUCACUGUUCUACUAUUUCCAGGCCAGUGCUAUCGUUUUUAAAUCAUUAGGGUCAUGCUCCAUUGUAAAAAGACGAACUGUUCUGAGCGGUCAGGCCCCGUGCUCUGAUGCGCCCGUCUGAACAGGCAGCCAGCGGCCUCUCCUUCCACCCAGGCACUUACCAUCAGUCUGGGAGCUGUGAAGAAAGGGGAGUCAACGGACCCCACCUUCCAGCAGGUUCUAUUCUUCCUGCUGACUCCGGCCCAUCACAAGGUUGCUUGGGGUGCUCUGCCCAUCACCCAAGAGGAACCAACUCGGCAGGGAGGCUUUCGGCAGGUGCCUGACCAGAGAGGGUCUGAAGACACCGUCCCCGCACCCGGAGCGUGGCCGACAAUCGUCGCUCCUCUGCCAAAUGUGAUCGCGGCUACAGCACAGGGAGGGAGGGGGGCAUCUAAAACCCCUAUUCCUUCAGGUGCAGGAGACUUUGGAGAAACAGACCUGCUUGAGGAUUCGAAUAGCUACGGUUGGGCUCAAAAGCCCAGGGGGCCACCUCUCUUCCUCUCAGGCCAGGCCACACGAACGGAGGAACGCAGCAGGACAGCGGAGUGGCUGAGCCCAGGAGACCGCCGGCCUGAGGCUCUUGGCCGGAGCUCCGCUGACCCGUCCGCGAGCCACACUGUCCUCCCUUGACGAGCAAACCCUCUCCUGACACCCAGCCCACUUGGCGUUUGCCCUCAUCUCUAGUUCUCAAAUUCCUGAUUUUGUACCCAGGAUCUUUAUCUGCUUCUGGCUCCCGUGAUUUGGCAAAUUGCCAAAGCCCAGCCGGCUGGUCUUCUUAAGGGAUGUCAGCUCAGCUGACAGAGUCCCCGCUCCAGCCCCUAGCAGUCAAGGACAGCAUCGCCACCUCUACAGCUCAGCUCCCUCUGAUGCCCGUUUCAAAAAGUCAGCAGUCAGCUUUCGGGUCCGUUGCCGAAGGGACCUGUGUACCGAGAUGUUGGAACCCUGGGUCCCCACCCCACACGCAGAGGGUGAGCACUGGACCCUGUGGAGGCCACGUCUGGAGAGAUGGGCCUCCCAACGCAGCCUCCAGCCGUCCUGGACCUUCAGACCCCAAGAGACUCUAAGAUCAGGGCUAAUCUGGACGCCGAGUUCCAUAGCGGAAAACUCAUGACCCCUCUGUGCUUCUUCCUACCUCUGUGUGCCUCACACCUUCCUUCCAGGAGCCCCCCUCAGGGAGAAGCCACCCUCCAGCUCCGCCUGUGUCUCCCCCCAUUCCUCAGUGGUUGUAUUUCGGGGACUCAGAAACAUCGAGGGCCAACCGGACCCAGGGAACCCGACCGGUUAGCCUCUGAGCGACUGGCCUGGCCCAGCUUCCGCUGGCUGUCCACAAGAGUAAAUAAACUUCAGCCAGCUCUCUAUUGUUACUGAAGAUCAGUUACUCCCCUCAAGAUCCAACCUGGCAUCUUGGUCCCUAAUUAAGCCUGUAGCAGCUGUCUGCUUGAAGAAAGAGCAGAAAGUAACGCAGAGCUGCUAAGACGGUCUAGAAGAGAGACGUCUUGUCAGGAGCUGUAAUCAACUUAUGGAGGACACCAAGGUGGCAGCGACUCAGAUCCAGGCCUUGAACAAGUCCAGGCUCCGAACAAGACCUACAAAUAAGUGGGGCAUCAUCAAAAUAGAAGGGGAGCAUCAGAACAGCUUCCACUGGAGGCUGAGAUGGAACCUGCUGGGCAGCGAACGCCCUUGGCAUUGGAGAGCAAAGUCAUCACUGAAAACAAAGACAACCAGUGAGCUAUUUUGUGCACAAAUGGUCCCUUUGCCGUUCUCAUCAAGCCAGAAACAAAUAUCCUGGAAUCGUUGGCUAGCGGCCAAGAAGAAGACCUGGGGUCCAAACUUGCUUAACCCCAAAUGCUGUGCUCUUUUCACUGUAUCGUCCUAUCUGCCUCGCUGGAUCCCGGGAAGGCUUGACUGGUAAGACCAGAAGACACAAGGAUGGGCUGGAAGGCGGCCAUGCUGGAAAAAGAGAUCUUUUGGAGAGCACGCUUAGAAUGUAAUUCUGGAUCGGGUAGACAAAGAAGAACCUUCUUCCCAUGCCCCUCACAACACGUGAAUUUAUCCGGCAACUUUUUUCCAGCCCCUCUGCAGAGCCAUUUACAAAUUCCCGCUUGCAAGGCUGCUGAAGGAUGAAAUGUACCAAUACGGUCUCUGCGACAGACUGCUGUGCGCUUUCAAAACACAGACACAACACCAGGACUUCUCGACUCUGCGUUUCUGCAGGGCCUAGUGCCAGCUCUGACACAGGAUGGGGACGUAAUCAGUGUCGUUCACUUGACUCGUCCCAUUUGAGGGAAGAUCUUUGUAAAUGAUUCCACGUCACAACAUAACAGACACAGACAAGGCCAUCUGAUGCAUUCGAAACUUAACAUGAAUGGGCAUACGACCCAGGCAGAUGCUGUGGAUGCGUGGACCUCCUCCAAGAAAUUAGUGACCUGUUUAGAAAUUAUACUUUUUACCAUUCUUCGUGAGCGCAGAUGAUUGCCGAACGGAAGACGUGGGAUUUCAGCCGUCUUCCCAGGAGAGGGGAUGGGCCUCCUGCUAAAUCAUCCCUCCUUCCUUUAACAUUUGUGGGUGACAACAGUGUACCUACCGACCACUCAAGGAGCACAGACCCAGGAGGACCCUACAUGGAGGGCUCCCGGUCUGAUGCGGUGAGAUCACAUUCACAAAGAACUCAUUACCCGGGGGUCAGCGCUGCUGUAGAAGGAUGGUCUAAGUGCCCUGGGAGUGUUAAAUCCCUCCCCGGGUCAGGAUGGGAGGACGAAGGUAGGAAAGGCCAUUUGAGGGAUGGACAGAUCCAGAUGGACAGUAGAGUAUCCUAGGCCAGAGGAUAUUAACAAAGGCAUUGGAAUUCAGCAGUACGCUGGGAAUGUAACUACCAUGUCAGGCCAUUCACUUCUAAUAAACUCAGCUGGUUUCAA